AAGCACUGGUUCUCGUCCUCCACUGGCUGGGAGAUGAUCUCCAAGUCCGACAGACCUGCCUGCUCCACUUCCCUGGUUACAUGCCAACACCAGCAACAGACAGACAAAAGACACAUAGAUGGCCUCGGGUGGGUAAACGCAGGGUCAGAGAGGGUUACACACAAACACCCACUCGGCACCAGGGAGCUACGGAGUACUCACACAAUCCUCCACUGCUGAAGACCAGAGGAGCUGCAGGCACCAGGUUUUGACAAGGAAGAGGAAUGUCCA